rnacentral:tRNA from 1 species
AGACAGGUGGCCGAGUGGUCGAAGGCGCACGACUGGAACUCGUGUAGGGUUAAUAGCCCUCGAGGGUUCGAAUCCCUUCCUGUCUG